CCUCCUUUCUAAGGAUAUUGAUGUUUGUUUAGGCAGACAUCCGGAUUGUUGUCUAUUUAUCUCUUUAUAAUAUUAGCUAAGUGCUAGGUGUUUCCUUAAUCAAACUGGGCCGGUAGCUCAGUUGGUUAGAGCGCGCGCUUGAUAAGCGUGAGGUCGGAAGUUCAAGUCUUCCUCGGCCCACCAUUUUUCAAGGGGGAUUAGCUCAGCUGGGAGAGCGCCUGAUUUGCAUUCAGGAGGUCAGCGGUUCGAUCCCGCUAUCCUCCACCAUAACUUCUGAUAUUAUAUCUUAUUUGUUCUUUAAAUUUGUAAAUAUGAAACUAAUAACUGAUCAAAAUAAUUUUAUUAUUGAUUAAAAAUACGUACAAAAUUUUUCUCUGUACGUAAUUGCAAUCAAGCGCAAAAGGGCAUUUAGUGGAUGUCUUGG
rnacentral:tRNA from 1 species